GUGUCUGUGUCUGUCUGUCUGGACGUGUUCUUAACCUCUGAGCCAUCUCUCCCGAAAUCUACUCAUCUAUCUAUCUAUCUAUCUAUCUAUCUAUCUAUCUAUCUAUCUAUCUAUCUUUCUUGACUGUCCCAUGUGUGUGACAUGUACAGAUGGGUCCGGGGGAGAAGGGGGCUAGCUAGCUAGUGCGGUGCUGCUCGCUGGUCAUCCAGUGGUAAAUACAGCUGGGAAUAUUAUUAAAACUCUUCAAAGAGAAAACAAUUGCUUUCUUUUCUGUUCGGACAGAGAUCUGACUGACUGCAACUUGGAAGGAAGAUGGGGCCCUGAGUGAACCCACAUCUGGACUGACUGCAAGAUACAAAAGAAGAAACAUGGAAAGAAAACGUCCCUGCUGGAAAGAGACCUCCUGCUUUGGGUUGGUUGGUGACCUGAAGAGGUGUAAGGACGACGGGAUCUGAGAAUGAAUUCAUCGAAUAGCUGCCAGCAGCAUUUCAUUGAGAAGAGAUUCCACAUUUUACAUUUUAUGCUAUACUUAGUGUUAGUUACAUGAAGAGGGGCCAGUGAACUGGGGUGGGGUGUGGCUUCUCAGGUCAGGUUAGGUCACCUCAGGACAGGGAGGGGCUGAGGAGUGUAGCUUUGGCCUUGACAAUAGGCACCAGUCAGAUGCUAAUGUCAGACCCUGAGACUUCCUCAAAAGGAGACCCUUGCUUAUCUAAAAAAAAUGCCUGACCUUGGGAAAAGGACUUGGUGGCCAGCAGGCAAUGGAAACCUUUCCUAUCUUCCCAGAACGCGCCCUCCUGAAAGGGAAAGUCAUGAUAUCUUACUCUUUUCCAAAGGAUACCCCUACCAUUCUGAUCAUUAUGUACUGACUAACUCUUCCACUAUGUAAGUAAGUAUGUAAGUAAGUAAAUAAGUAAGUAAGGAAGUAAAUAAAUAAAUAA